CACGGGAGUUGCGAGCGUUGUCCGGAAUUACUAGGCGUAAAGGGCAGGCAGGCGGAUCCAUAAGUUUAUCGUUUAAGGCGUCGGCUUAACCGGCGUAGGGCGGUAGAUACUGUGGAUCUGGAAUGCGGUUGGGGAAGACAGAAUUCCUGGUGUAGCGGUGGAAUGCGCAGAGAUCAGGAGGAAUACCGAAGGCGAAGGCAGUCUUCCAAGCCGUUAUUGACGCUCAACUGCGAAGGUGUGGGUAUCAAACAGGAUUAGAUACCCUGGUAGUCCCU
rnacentral:rRNA from 1 species